UACGAAGGGGGCUAGCGUUGCUCGGAAUUACUGGGCGUAAAGGGCGCGUAGGCGGAUAGUUUAGUCAGAGGUGAAAGCCCAGGGCUCAACCUUGGAACUGCCUUUGAUACUGGCUAUCUUGAGUUCGGGAGAGGUGAGUGGAAUGCCGAGUGUGGAGGUGAAAUUCGUAGAUAUUCGGCGGAACACCAGUGGCGAAGGCGACUCACUGGCCCGAUACUGACGCUGAGGCGCGAAAGCGUGGGGAGCAAACAGG
rnacentral:rRNA from 1 species